rnacentral:rRNA from 1 species
AGCAGCCGCGGUAAUUCCAGCUCCAAUAGCGUAUAUUAAAGUUGUUGCAGUUAAAAAGCUCGUAGUUGAAUUUCGGGAUCAAGUCGUCGGUCGUGCUCAGGUACGUACUGGCGUCAUUGAUUUCUCCCUUCUGACGAACCAUGAUGUCAUUAAUUUGGUGUUAUGGGAAAUCAGGACUGUUACUUUGAAAAAAUUAGAGUGUUUAAAGCAGGCUCACGCUUGAAUACAUUAGCAUGGAAUAAUGAAAUAGGACGUUCGAUCCUAUUUUGUUGGUUUUAGGAUCAACGUAAUGAUUAAUAGGGAUAGUUGGGGGCAUUAGUAUUCAAUUGUCAGAGGUGAAAUUCUUGGAUUUAUUGAAGACUAACUACUGCGAAAGCGUUUGCCAAGGAUGUUUUCAUUAAUCAAGAACGAAAGUUAGGGGAUCGAAGACGAUCAGAUACCGUCGUAGUCUUAACCAUAAACUAUGCCGACUAGGGAUCGGAUGAUGUUAAUUUUUUAAUGACUCAUUCGGCGCCUUACG